UGAUCUGCUGAAACUUGUCUUACAGAAAGUUACUUAAUAAAACUGAAGUUCAGAAAAGUAAGGAAUUCAUUCUUGCAUUGUCAAGACAAGUAAAAAAUGUUCAUUUUUCUCACAAGUUUCACUUCUAAUUUUAAAUCAAUAUCUAAUAAAGCAAAUUGUGUCAGAAAGUUUGAGAAAGUUCAGUCUGCAUUUUUUUACUUCAAAGAGCAAUUACAGAGAAAGUAGACAUAAUAUGUAGUUUUAUUGCCAACAGAUAUGUCACUACACUCAAAAAAUUUAUUAUAACCCUAUUCUAUCACUCAUGCAUUUUUACUCUAUCUGUACAUUACUUGAUCAGCCAGAUAACUUAACACACUGUGCUGAACACUUAAAUAGACAAAAAUUAACAUGAAAUCACAGGGUAGCACAUAAGCAACACACAAACCCAAUUGAGUAAAUGAAAAUAAGUAGCUUCCAUAUUUCUGCUACAACUACAAGAAAAUGAAUCAAAACAAAGCUUGAGAUUCAUGAGUUGAAAAUACAGUGUCCUAUAACCUGCUUCUCCUGGAUCGGGAGAAAGAUAUUCUGAUCUUCUCAGCUUAUGUGAACAUGAGCAUGACUGCUACUGUGACCCUGCUUUGCUAAACUCUGCCUGUAAGCUUCAAAAAAGAGAGCUGAAAAUCAAGCCAAAGCUUAUAUUGGGAUUCAUUCCUUUUUUAAAAAUAAACUAAAAAUGUUACUUUUAGAUACAUUUAUUAAUGAUUGGUGAUGACAUUUAUUUCUAGCCUGGGAUCCGUACCUUAGCUGUUCAUCCCUCUGUUCAUGAGAGAGGAUUAAGUUUGUACCUAAGAGGGUAAACGUUAAACUUUUCAACUAUAUCGGAGAAUAUAAACUUUCUUAUCAUUUUUCAUAGUGGGCACUGAAAUUGUUCAAAUCUUGUUGCUUCUCUUUCAGGGAAAGCUCCAGAUUCAAGACAGAUGGAGUUUUAAGUGCACUAGUUUCCUGUGAUCAAGAAUUACUGUACAAGUUCAGCUCUCCUGUUUAAACAAAUACUCUUCUUUUUCAUAGGAACAGCAUAGCAAAAGCAUAAAGCACCUUCAAGAUUCAUUUUAAACUGUUAAAAUAACAAUGAUUUCUUGUGAAAAAAAAAAUCAAUGCAUUCAAGAUUAUAAUGUAGUAUUAAUAAAGAUUUACUCUUUGAAUAAUCUGAUAUUUUUCUAUCUCAGUGAGGUGGUUUUGAAUAUUUGAACUAUUAAAAACUGUUAAAAGUUAACAUCUUAAAAAUAUGAAAUUAUAUUUGAAAUUUAAAAAGGGCUUCACACACAAAAAAAACACCUACAGUAGUGUGAUAUUCGGGAUAUCUGAAAAGCACUGAAAUCUCAAAGAGAAAGAAAAGUUUCCAUCCAACUCUCUCUUAAGCUUUAAAAAACCAUUAAUGAAAGUCCAAAGUCGAUAAAUUCUGUAAACAUAAGGCCAUGUAUGUUUUAUCUCUGUAAUACUUUAUCUUUUUUAUGAUAAUACAAAAGUAAAUUCUAGACAUACAGCAGUAUCUAUGGGCUGAUGUUUAAAAGUUCAAAUAGCAGAAGAAAGAUUUUUUCACUCUGUUGUCUCACAUGUAAAAUUCAGUUAUGUAUUAUUUACCUUCUUCCCAAAUGCACUCACUUCAAUAUGAAGAUUCCUCAGAGGACAAAUUCAUUUCUCUUUCUUCACUGCCAAAAUGUUUUUGUUUUUUUUUUUCUCUGUACAGUUUUGAAACUUCUAUAAAAUUUAACAUAGUAAGAACCUCUGCUCGCAUUUUCUGUGGCUACCUUAUUUACAUGUGCCUUUUAAUAUAUUCAUGCUUUUUCCUUUACUCUUCAUCCUUUCAAACUAACUUUCCCUUCCUCUGUUCUGCUGAGUUCGCAUCAUUGUCCCAGUCAUGCAAGAAAACAGAAAGAUAUGGCUUAAUUAGACUUCAGCUUUAUUAAUUUAAUGUAUCUGGGGACUAUCCAGCAGCAAUUUCUACAAUCCAGGUCAUAAAUUUUUCAUUAAUUAUUUUCUCUUAUAGGAGGACUGCCAUCAGCAUCCAGUUGUUCUGGUAGCAGGUCUCAACAGAUGAACAACCAUCGCCUUUUGACAGUAAGGAAAUGUUGUCAUCGCACUAGGUAUAGAGAGCCCUGCUUCCAGAUGGCAGCAGAGGGGCAGUCUCACAAAAUAGCGUCUAACAUGGAAGUGUGUAUGAAGCAAAGGUGUGUCAUUGAAUUCCUCCAUGCAGAAAAAGUGUCACAUGUUGACAUUCACUGACACUUGCGGAGUGUCAGUGUCACUUGCUUGAAGACCAAGCAGUGGAUGGGAACACAGUGAGGCAAUGGGUGGUGCAUUUCAGCAGCGGCAACAGAAAGGUGAAAGACAAGCCAUGUUCAGGAUGGCCAUGAAGGUUUUUACGGGUGUGUAUGCAGCUUCCUGCUCACCAGUGGCCAAAAUGCAUAGCUACUGCAGUGACUACGUUGAAAUAUAGUGUUAUUGAGAAUUUUCUCUGCCAAACAGUGUUCUUGUGCUCUUUGUAGCUGUUGUAGCUUCCAUGGAAAUAAACAGGAGGCAUUCCUUUCAGAUCAACCAAUAUGUAAAGCAUAUGAAAUAAAAUAUAUACCC
rnacentral:lncRNA from 1 species